rnacentral:rRNA from 1 species
CCUACGGGAUGCAGCAGUGAGGAAUAUUGGUCAAUGGACGCAAGUCUGAACCAGCCAUGCCGCGUGCAGGAUGACGGCUCUAUGAGUUGUACACUGCUUUUUUACGAGGGUAAACCCCGAUACGUGUAUCGGUUUGCAAGUAUCGUACGAAUAAGGAUCGGCUAACUCCGUGCCCGCAGCCGCGGUAAUCAGGAGGAUCCGAGCUUUAGCCGGAUUUAUUGGGGUUAAAGGGUGCGUAGGCGGUUUGAUAAGUUAGAGGUGAAAUGUCGGGGCUCAACCCCGAAACUGCCUCUAAUACUGUUGGACUAGAGAAUAGUUGCGGUAGGCGGAAUGUAUGGUGUAGCGGUGAAAUGCUUAGAGAUCAUACAGAACACCGAUUGCGAAGGCAGCUUACCAAACUAUAUCUGACGUUGAGGCACGAAAGCGUGGGUAGCAAACAGGAUUAGAUACCCCAGUAGUC